rnacentral:rRNA from 1 species
CAGUCGCCGCGGUAAUACGAAGGGUGCAAGCGUUAAUCGGAAUUACUGGGCGUAAAGCGUGCGUAGGCGGUUUGUUAAGUCUGUUGUGAAAUCCCCGGGCUCAACCUGGGAAUGGCAAUGGAUACUGGCAAGCUAGAGUGUGUCAGAGGAUGGUGGAAUUCCCGGUGUAGCGGUGAAAUGCGUAGGGAUGUGGAGGAAUACCGAUGGCGAAGGCAGCCCCCUGGGCCAAUACUGACGCUCAUGCACGAAAGCGUGGGGAGCAAACAGGAUUAGAUACCCCCGUAGUCCCUGUCUCUUAUAC